AUACAGCUGAUGAGUCCCAAAUAAGACGAAACGCGUAUCGUGGAU
rnacentral:hammerhead_ribozyme from 1 species